rnacentral:rRNA from 1 species
GUGUCAGCAGCCGCGGUAAGACGGAGGGGGCUAGCGUUGUUCGGAAUGACUGGGCGUAAAGGGCGCGUAGGCGGUUUUUUAAGUGAGGCGUGAAAGCCCUGGGCUUAACCCAGGAGGUGCGUUUCAUACUGGAAGACUUGAGUACGAGAGAGGUAAGUGGAAUUCCUAGUGUAGAGGUGAAAUUCGUAGAUAUUAGGAAGAACACCAGUGGCGAAGGCGGCUUACUGGCUCGUAACUGACGCUGAGGCGCGAAAGCGUGGGGAGCAAACAGGAUUAGAUACCCUGGUAGUCCACGCCGUAAACGAUGAGUGCUAGACGUUGGAGAUUGCAUCUUCAGUGUCGCAGCUAACGCAUUAAGCACUCCGCCUGGGGAGUACGGUCGCAAGAUUAAA